rnacentral:lncRNA from 1 species
UUUCUCCAUCUCAAGCUUUCACGCUCGUAAUCAAGCUUUGUCCCUUUCACGCUCUUGCUCGCAGUCACGAUCUCGUUCUCCAUCCUAAUCCAAAUCUCAAUCAUUUUUGGCAUGUCCGUUGCUCUUUUAACCUUGCCAUUUCUUAUAACUCAACUGGUCCAUCGACAUUAUUUGUUGAAAAAAGGGUUAAUUGCACCGCUGGUACCAAACCUUC